UCCGUAGGCGGGCAAUUAAGUCAGAGGUGAAAUCCCACAGCUCAACUGUGGAACUGCCUUUGAUACUGGUUGUCUUGAGUUAUAGUGAAGUAGAUAGAAUAUGUAGUGUAGCGGUGAAAUGCAUAGAUAUUACAUAGAAUACCGAUUGCGAAGGCAGUCUACUAACUGUAUGCUGACGCUAAUGGACGAAAGCGUGGGGAGCGAACAGGAUUAGAUACCCUGGUAGUCC
rnacentral:rRNA from 1 species